GCCUAGUGGUUCCUAGAGUCGGCUCUAAAGUGCUGAACUGUGGGUUUUUGUUAACAGGCGCAUAUUGAUUUCUGCAAUUUUAUGCAUGGGAGCUGCCACUAAUAGCAGCCUUCCAUAGCCCGGUUGCAGAUACACUG
ensembl:snoRNA